rnacentral:tRNA from 1 species
CAGGGAGACAACAAAAUGUUUAAUAUUAAUUUUGUCACCUUAGGUCGAUCGGUAUCUCACGUUUUUAAUUUAUUAAGAACUUCAUUUCCUAAGUUUUUUCUAGGUCACACCCAUUAUUUUUCCUGGGCCAUUAGCUCAGGUGGUUAGAGCGCACCCCUGAUAAGGGUGAGGUCCCUGGUUCAAGUCCAGGAUGGCCCAUAUCUCUAUGUUGGGGGUAUAGCUCAGUUGGUAGAGCGCCUGCUUUGCAAGCAGGAUGUCAGCGGUUCGAGUCCGCUUACCUCCACUGAUUACCACCUCCUUCAUAAUUGAUUGAAAGGAAAUCUUUUGUGAUGUGAUCAGAUUCUGAACGAAUCUAGCUUCCUAAUGAAAUUAUUAAAAAAAUUCAUUAAGAUGCUGGACUCAAUGAAUUAUUUUCAUUGUUUUCAGAGAACCUUGACAACUGCAUAGAUUAUUUUUAAAGACAAUGAGCAUCUUUAAUGAUGCAGAUUUAUUAUUUGUGCUAAUGCAUUAAUAACAAUUCUAUUAAGCUGAUGCUUCAAUUUUUGAAGUUAUU